GCGCUUGUGAUGUAGUGGUUAGCAUAUUGCUCUUAUACUUGCUACGCUCAGCGAAGCUUGUGUGGUAGAAAUGCAAAGGUCGUGAGUUCAAUCCUCACCUGGCGCA
rnacentral:tRNA from 1 species